UAGGGAAUCUUCCACAAUGGACGCAAGUCUGAUGGAGCAACGCCGCGUGAGUGAAGAAGGUUUUCGGAUCGUAAAGCUCUGUUGUUGGUGAAGAAGGAUAGAGGCAGUAACUGGUCUUUAUUUGACGGUAAUCAACCAGAAAGUCACGGCUAACUACGUGCCAGCAGCCGCGGUAAUACGUAGGUGGCAAGCGUUGUCCGGAUUUAUUGGGCGUAAAGCGAGCGCAGGCGGAAUGAUAAGUCUGAUGUGAAAGCCCACGGCUCAACCGUGGAACUGCAUCGGAAACUGUCAUUCUUGAGUGCAGAAGAGGAGAGUGGAAUUCCAUGUGUAGCGGUGGAAUGCGUAGAUAUAUGGAAGAACAACAGUGGCGAAGGCGGCUCUCUGGUCUGCAACUGACGCUGAGGCUCGAAAGCAUGGGUAGCGAACAGG
rnacentral:rRNA from 2 species